UAGUCCACGCCCUAAACGAUGCUUACUCGACGUUUGUAUUUAUAUGAGCGUCUAAGGGAAACCAAUAAGUAAGCCACCUGGGGAGUACGUCGGCAACGAUGAAACUCAAAGGAAUUGACGGGGUCCGCACAAGCGGUGGAGCAUGUGGUUUAAUUCGAUGAUACGCGAGGAACCUUACCUGGGCUCGAACGCUAUUGGGCGAUAUGUCGAAAGGCGUAUUUUCUCGGAACUGAUAGUGAGGUGCUGCAUGGUUGUCGUCAACUCGUGCCGUGAGGUGUUGGGUUAAGUCCCGCAACGAGUGCAACCCCUAUUUUCAGUUGCCAACACAUAAUGGUGGGGACUCUGGAAAGACUGCCGGCGUAAGCCGCGAGGAAGGUGGGGACGACGUCAAAUCAUCAUGGGCCUUUACGCCCAGGGGCUACACACGUGCUACAAUGGUAGGGUACAGAGGGGUCGCGAAGCCGCGAGGCUAAGCUAAUCUCAGAAAGCCUAGCCCAGUUCGGGAUUGGGAGUCUGCAA
rnacentral:rRNA from 1 species